rnacentral:rRNA from 1 species
CGUGCCUAAUACAUGCAAGUCGAGCGAGCUUGCCUAGAUGAUUUUAGUGCUUGCACUAAAUGAAACUAGAUACAAGCGAGCGGCGGACGGGUGAGUAACACGUGGGUAACCUGCCCAAGAGACUGGGAUAACACCUGGAAACAGAUGCUAAUACCGGAUAACAACACUAGACGCAUGUCUAGAGUUUGAAAGAUGGUUCUGCUAUCACUCUUGGAUGGACCUGCGGUGCAUUAGCUAGUUGGUAAGGUAACGGCUUACCAAGGCAAUGAUGCAUAGCCGAGUUGAGAGACUGAUCGGCCACAUUGGGACUGAGACACGGCCCAAACCCCUACGGGAGGCAGCAGUAGGGAAUCUUCCACAAUGGACGAAAGUCUGAUGGAGCAACGCCGCGUGAGUGAAGAAGGGUUUCGGCUCGUAAAGCUCUGUUGGUAGUGAAGAAAGAUAGAGGUAAUAACUGGCCUUUAUUUGACGGUAAUUACUUAGAAAGUCACGGCUAACUACGUGCCAGCAGCCGCGGUAAUACGUAGGUGGCAAGCGUUGUCCGGAUUUAUUGGGCGUAAAGCGAGUGCAGGCGGUUCAAUAAGUCUGAUGUGAAAGCCUUCGGCUCAACCGGAGAAUUGCAUCAGAAACUGUUGAACUUGAGUGCAGAAGAGGAGAGUGGAACUCCAUGUGUAGCGGUGGAAUGCGUAGAUAUAUGGAAGAACACCAGUGGCGAAGGCGGCUCUCUGGUCUGCAACUGACGCUGAGGCUCGAAAGCAUGGGUAGCGAACAGG